UUUCACACAGAUGUAGUUGGACCAGAUCAGUGCUGUACCAAGUUUGUGACACAACGAAUCCCUGUAAGCUUCAUAACAACAUAUAAAGUAACAGAUCCUGAGUGUCUAAACCAGGGAGUCAUCUUUACUCUACAGGACGGUCGUCGUUUUUGUGCAAAUCCCCAAGACAAGUGGGUGAAGAACAACAAGAACAGAAUUGAGCCACCUAAAAAAGCCUGAACAAACCUACAGCGAGUUUAAAUCCUCUCUACAUUAAUAAAUAAUGAAUAAUUAUUUUACAAAAUGUACUUUUUACAUAAUCAGACACAUGUAUAACUUCCUGUUCUGCUGUAAAAUUCUGUUUGAUUUGUUUCUGUCUUCAUGCAGAUUUACAUCAUAUCUUUUCUUCUUUCUCUCUUACUAGUGAUUUGACUUGUUAUAAAAUAGUAGAAGAAUGAAGGUCAAUAAAUAAUCACUGUAUAAUGA